ACUUAAUCUUUUUAUGAUAAAAAUAAUUAGUGCAUAUUUACACAAAUUUUAAACAGAAAAGAAAAGGAGGACACAAGACAAUAUGUUGGCAUUUGUAGGUUGGCUCCAGUAAGUUCCAAGUACCAGCAACUGAAGGUGAACUCUGGUUGUUUCCAGGCUUCCCUUGCAUUAUUUGAAUUGUCCAAAUACCAUGAGUAAUAUGGAAGUUCUCUGAAUGGUAAGUUGGUGCUCUGAUUUAACAUUUGCUUUCUGAUAAUUCUACUGGAAAUAUAACUGAGAGCCCUUGCUGUGGCAGCUUCUUGGAGAUGGGGGUGAUAUGCAGAGUCACUCUGCUUGAAACUUCAUCAGUUUAUUCCCAAAUCCUGGCAGAAUGAAUUCAACACUUGCUUGGUCAUUGCUAUUGCCAUUUCCUGCUUAAGAAGCAAGACCUAGUAUUUAAAUAUCCACUGACAACUUCCUCUUUAAUACUGCCUAUUUCAAAUGCUAUGGCUAUGGACUAUUCAAAUUAUGAAUAUCUAAAAGAUAAGUGAUGUGCUAUGCUGUGCUUUUUUCUGAAAAAUGCUCUUACAGUUUUGAAUUUGUAGUUCAUAAAUAUCCAUUGAUACUUCUGUACAUUCUACCUCUUUUGAACACAGCCUUUAGAUGAGGUUUUAUCUUAUGGGCUUUGGUGAUUAACAGCAAAAAAAUUAUGUUGUUAUAAUACUUAAUAUUUAUCAUAUCCUUUUCAAGAGAUGGUCAAAAUAUGUUAGACAUUUUCUCCUUUGUGUCAAAUGCUUUUAUAAACUACUACCACUGGCUUAUUUUCAAAUGGUUUAUUCUCAUUAUACCUAAAUAGUCAUGCAAAAUUAAAAUAAUUUCUCUCAGAAAAUAAAAAUUAUGAAAAUAAAAAGGACAAGGUCCACUUCUUUCAUUUAAUCUCUUUGUAUUCAUUUAAUAGAGUGCUUAAAAUAGGGGCUCCCGUAAAUUUUCCCAUUGUCUUACAUUAGAUGCCCAUCAAUGGACAUUGUGUUUUAAUCCAAGACUAUGAAAAACCAAUUGUAGAUCUACAACAAUAGAAUAAAUUAUUAAUUAGUAAAAAAGAUGCAAAAUUGAGAUCAUGUAUUAGCAUGAUUUAGAACUAAUUUUAUGCUUUUUUUUUGUUUAGCUUUUCCUUGGGAGUAUCCAUAUAUUUUUAAAGUGCAUCUUAAAUCACUCUUUCUGUUAUCUAUGAGCACAAAACACCAAAAUAAUAGUUAUAUUGAAGAUGUUUUAUUUCUACAAAUUCUAAGAUAGUGACAUCUGAAAUAAUCAUUUAACAAUUUAAAUGAACUUUAUACAGAACACAGAUGCAUUUUUCUUGAUUCAAUAAUAAUAAUGAUAUUCCAAUAGACAAAUUUCCUUAUUAAACAGCAGAAAACUUCCAAGAAGUAUUUCCCCUACUUUUGUGUGAUAUUAAAAAGCUUUGGAAAGUGUUCUAUGAGAGCUAAGAUUUAUAUGUAUUAACAAUACAGCCAAGAUGUCCCUUUCUUCUUACUGCAGGUUUCUAGUCCUUCAGCUCCUUAAAGUUUAUGGUAAUAGUAGAAUCUAGUAAUGAUUAGAUUCAGCUUAAUAUUGUUCUCAAUUUAUAGCUAUAGAAGUAAUUAGAAGUCCCUAUCUGAAAUCAUUCUAGAGAUGUACAAAUAGUUGAAUAACAUUUCUAAGGACUUUGUAUUUAAAUAAGAGGAACAGUAUAGAUUAUGUUAUUUUCUUGACAAUUUGUGGUGGUAAAAAUCCCUUCACUAUGUCUGCUGUUUAUGGUUUCCUGCAGACAUGGCUAUGGAAAGGGUGAUUAGAAUGUACUUAAAAAAAUAAGGUCCUAACCCAAGAAAAAGCUAAAAUCAGCCUUCCAUGGGGGAGAAAGCACUAAAAUUAGUUGUCAAUCAUGGCAAUACCUGAUUACAAUCUGGUGUCUUUUCCACUUAGUUGCACCUUCUUCAGUUGUUCUUAAUUGACAUUGGUUUUUCACUGCAGUACCUCUUGCAUCCAUUUCUCUAUUUUCAGUGUCCCUGAACUAGUCCUCAGGGGCUCCAGAACCUAUUAGGUUUGACCUUAAGUACAGAAUCUUAGGUAAGUCAUGUAGUGAUAUAGAAACCCUGUGAACCUGAGUUUCCUCAUAUGCAAAAUGCAAGAGUGAGGGGAAAAUGAAAUAUCUAAUGUGCUUCUGUCCUCUAAAAUUUCAUUAUACUGCAAUUCCAAUCCAGGCCCCCCUUAUAGCAGAAGUCUGUCCUUGCUGAUCUUUCUGCCUUCAACCUGAAUUCUGGCAAUUCAGAUUUAUUCUAGCAAUUUAAAUCACUUUUGACUUAAUCUUUUUGUUAACUUCAUUUGCUGUUCAAAGUUAAAACUGUCACUGACUUUUUCCAGAUACUCCUGCUUGCCUUCCAAACUUGAGUAAAACCACUGUGAAAGCUACAGUUAUUCUAAUACUUCUUGGCAGAAUUCCAUGCAGGUAACGUGGCUUGUUGGCCAUAAGUCUCUUAAGUCACAGCCACAGGUAAUCCAUUUCCUUCUUGGCUGUUAGGGAAGGGCCUAAUUAGCGAAUCCAACAAAUUCCACUCCCCACCCCCUUCUUCCAUGGGUUAGUUCUGUGCUUCUUCAGGCUUCGUGCCAGGCUGCUGCUCUGAGAGCGAUCAAAUUACCCUUAGAGCCAGCCAGCAACAGCACAAUGCUGUUUAUCUACUUUCUACCCUACAAUUCUUUUACUUCAUCAAAAGUUCUGCUCCUUUCUUUUUCUUCCAAAGGAAAUCUACCACUUCUCCCAUUUGCUUAUAAUGAAUCUAUGAUUUUGUUAUAAUUUUUAAUGAAAUAAAACAACUUACCCUUUUUGUUCCCAGUAACAUAUCACCAAAUUUCACAUCAUUUUAUGAGGAUUAACUUCAGGAACAAAUGAAAUAAAUCCCUCCUCCCGCCCAAAAAACGCCCUUUUCAUCUAUCAAAUGUGCUAAACAUACUAGAGAAAUGCAAACCCGAAUGAUUCAGAAAAAUUAGGCAUUUACAAUGUUCACAAAUACGGACAUUUUAUUCUUUAUCAUUUCUGUCAUAGAUUUCUACUUAAAUUGGCUUUCUUGUUACAAUUGUCUUUGUGAGAUUAGUGUAAGAAAUGAGAGCAUAAAGAAGUAGAAGCUAUAAUACGCCAAGGUACAUUUGGCAAAAAGAAUGACUCAUCUUCAUGAAUUCUGUGUGUAUUCAUGAAAGAGCUCGGUUGGGUGGCCAGGUGACCUGUAGGAGUGGGUUAUUUACCUGGGAGGACCUGGAAAGCUUUUUACACAGUGUCAACAGGAUUGUUGUUAAGCAGCAAGUUGGCAAAUAUGGAAAGGUUGUCAUUAAACAAUGUUGGGAUUCAGAUCUAUUGACGUUUAUUUGCUUUUCAACUCUUCAGCAACUCAUAGAAAGAACCAAGCUGUCUGUUUUAAAAAAGCACAUACAUCAUUGCACUCCCUCUCUCUUUUUAAAGCUCUUGGCAACCCCAAAACAGAGUGAAAUAAUCCUUUAAGGUGAGGGCUUUUUUUUACGUGGUCUUCUGUAAAUGAACUUUAGGGGAAUUCAUGAACUUAUGCAAAUAUAUGUUGCAUUUGGUAUAUAAUUAUUUGCAUACACACAAUCUCCUGUCUAGGGGAGGAGGACGUGGACACAUUUUUUAUUAGAAUUUUAAAGAGGCAUGUGAAUCAAUAUAGUUUAUAUACUUCUAAUUCAGGGUCUAAAUUGAUCAGCUUUAAUGUCAUGGGUGGGGAAGGGGACAGAGGAGACACUGGCAUGAUGCAUGUUCCUCUCAUGCACAAUUUUUUAAAGCGUCCCCAGCUAGGUAGACAUGAAAGUAAGAGAUGGAGAACUGUGGUCACUGCUGCAAACGUAAGAAUGGUCUGUUGGGAACAAUUGAGUGGAGACAGAAAUUAAUGUAGCCUUUCUAAGCAAGGGCAUCAGGACAGCCUCACCUUGUUCAUCCAGACAGGAGUUUCUAGCUUUUGGUAGUCUUUGGAAAACUAUCGGUGAGUACUCCUCUUCUAAGGGUCUUACUCACCAAUUCCAGGUCAGGUGGAUAUGGGUCAGGACUUAAUGCUGUUGCACGUGGCUCACUACACAGUCCUGAGGCUUAUAUCCAGAGUCCCCUAAAUAACCCUGUAUUUGCUAAAUAAAGGGAGACUGAUGACUCAGAGUUUGUGAUGUUCUGUCCCCCAACCCAGAUACUUUCCCCAAAUCCCGUCAAGGUAGCAGCCUUCAGAAAUGGCCAUCCAACAUUCCAUUACCUUAAUAUUUGUAACUACAUGAAUGUGAGAGAUGCUUUUUCACAGGGCUGCCACCUUUCACAAUGCCUUCCACAGUCAGCCCAGUGUACCCACCAUAUGUAAACAGCAACAAAGAGAAGUUCGCUCCAGCUGGCUAGAGCUUCUCUCCAAAAUAAGCCUCCUCCUCAGAGAAUUGUGGGGGAUUUUUCUGUUUGUGCUUUUUGUAUGUUUGUUUUUGGUUUCAUUUGGUCUCUUGGUUUCUAAGGUCAGAGACAAGUUGGUGAAAACCCAUAGUCCUUGGCGUAUGGCUCAUUUGUAGAAUUGAGCCUCGUCUGCCUGCUUCUCCUGAAGAGGUUGUUCUACUGGUACCCCAUCAGUUUCACUCACCACUGUUUACGAGCCAGUGACUAUUGGGCUGUCCCUCCCCUGCACACCUUGGCACCUGACCUGGCACAUGGCCCUGCCUUAUUUUUGGUUUUAUUUUUGAGGUAGUAGGGAGUGAGAAUCAAACUUAGACUUCCCUUGAAGUUUUAGAUAACAUUCUUAAAAUAGGCUCUUUUGCUUCCUACAAUCUUUCCAGUUAACUGCACACAUGCACACAAACUCCAUUUCCACAGAAUGUGAGAUUUUACUCAUCAAAAAGUCAAGUUAUCAGAAUUAACCAGCAACCUGUUUACUUCAGCAGUGCUGAAUCUGCGUUCAUAUUUUAAAUAUGGCUAUGUGUACUAAUGGUAUCAUACGUUUUUCAACUCUAAAAUGUAUCCUCUAGAAUUAAAAUGAAAACACUGUUGUUGAAACACAACCACCUUGAGUAUAAGGUCGUGGAUAGUCAUUUGCAUAUAAUUGUAACUGCAUGGUGAAAUGUAAUCAUAUGGUCCCCAAUUUUGUGGAUUUUGGAUACCAUUUCCCCCAUAAAAGUUGAACAGACUUUUAAGUCUUGCUUCAUAAAUGUAUUAGUUCCCUACCGCUAAUAUAACACAUUAGUGGCUUAAAGCAACACCGAUUUAUUUUUGUACAGUUCCGGAGGUCAGAAGACCUCAGUGACUUUCACUGGGUUAAAAUCAAGGUGUCUGCAGGGCUGUGCUCCUCUCGAGGUUCUAUGGGUAAAUCCACUAAAUUGCCUUUUCCUCCUUUUAGAAGCUGCCUGUAUUACUGGGCUUGAGACCUCUUGCUUCAUCUUUAAAGACAGAAGGGUGGUGUAAAUAAGUUAGCACAAGAAUGGAGUAAUGGCACGUGUGGUUAGUAUUCUCCCAACCUGCUGAAAGCUGACAAGCCAUAACAACUGUUUUCCAUCUUUAUUUCCAGUAAAGGAAUUAUGUAGCUAGCUUGCUCUGCAGUUCUGACUUUUCCAAAUUUUGUGACUUUCUGCCACCAGACAUAGAGAAUAACCACGGCUGUGUCCCGUUCUUCAGGUGGCUGCCAGUCCCCCGUACCUGCUCCCUGUCCCUGCCUGCCUUCCCGCUGAUGAUGACUGACAUUCUGGGACAGAGGAGCAGGUGUGUGGUGUCUGCCCUCAGCGUGUUGAAGCAUGACUUGAAGGAGGAAAUUUGAAUUUUUCUUACUUUCUAGAAGAGAGGAGUACCAAAGAGAUGACAGAUUCCCAUAGGAAAUGCACACACCUGUUUUGUUUUUGUUUUUGUUUUUGGAUGUGGUGCUCUAGGCAGUUUCAGAAAACCCCAGAGUGAAACCAUCAAUGUGAGAAUGCCUUUGUGCCCUUCAACUUUAUUCUGUAAAGCUAAAUAGCACUUUCUGACCAGGUGCAGGAGAAUUUUUCCCCCAAUUUUCCUAAACUCAGAACUAAUUUUUAUUGUCUUUUUGGGCAAUAAUUCAUUGUUUUAAAAUCAUGUUUGGAUAAAAUUAUCUGGGAGAUAACAUUAACAAUUUUUAAACACUGAUAUUUUGGUUUAUAACCUUUAGAAAACCUAAAGUAUUUGGACAACGAUGUAUUGAAAUAAGAUUUAGAUAUGAAUAUAUAAAUUGUGUUUGUGGGUGAUAAAAAUGUAGUCUACCCAGAAAUUAGCCUCAUUAAGUAAGAGAGCUACUUAUCUGAUAUUUUUACCCACUUUAGGCCUAGGUACAGUGGUGUGCUAGUAAAUUUGUAACAAAAGGCUCUCCAGGGGAAGAAAAGCCCAGAUUUUCAGUAUUUGCCAAUUCCCAUGAUAUUAAAAGUGCUCACACCAGGGCCAAUUUUAAGCAAUCCUCCUGAAGUCCCUGAAGACAGGGCUGAAAAGCAUCUUGCACAUUUGAUUCUCCUGAGCUGGUCCGAGCUGGCUCCAACACACUACUACUGCCUAUGUAAGUAUCUAUAAAUAAUACAACUUAGAGGAUUCAUAAGGAUAACAACGGGAUAUAUUUAGAAUGAUUGAAUGCUGACUCAGAAAGGAAAACUAUACAAUUUUGCUAUACCAUAAACCAUAAGAGUAUAUCACAGGAUCUCUGACCAAGAAUAUAAUUGUUGACCUCAGAUGGUCCUGAUUCUUCCUUUUUUAGCUUCUGGGAACCUCUUUUUUGUAUCCUGUCUUUGUUAUGCUGAGGGUCUGCAUCUUGCCUCUGAGAAUUUAGUAAAAUCACAGGCAGGUCUGAAUUCUCAUUUAUACAUUUGACACUAAGUAUAUGGAGGCUUUCCCAAUUGCUCUGUGUGAAGGACUUGAGCUUUUUCCAGGAUCAGCUGAAAAUACUAGAUGCCUGUUUGUGUGGAAAUUUCCUGAGACGACAGCUCUUAACUCUCUGACCUGAGCAGUAUGUGUGUGAAUUUUCCAUCAAGUUGUAUUCUCUGCAUUUUCUCUGCUGUACGGUGGCAAGUGGUUGUUGUAAUGUACACGAUCCCCCGUGAGCCCCCACCCCCAGCCUCAGUACUUCCCCUGAGCUCGGGAAGAGAACUCCUUGCCCUGGGCUCCUACAUUUGAGAUUUGACUCUGGAUAUCUGUUGGCUAUGCCCCUUUCCACUAAGUCUGUGUACCCUACUUCUAAGACUAUCGUCUGGAUUCUGGAGACUCCAGAAUUCUCUGCCUGAAAGGCUCUGAACCUGUCGGACCUGCAGUGGCCUCUUUGCCUUAUCCAUUCUCCAAAGGGUAUACUAUG